rnacentral:tRNA from 1 species
AUCUUUCUAGUAUAAUAUAACACAAAUGACUUCCAAUUGUUUAAUCCUGAUUAACCCCAGGGAAAGAUA